rnacentral:rRNA from 1 species
UACGGAGGGGGCUAGCGUUGUUCGGAAAUACUGGGCGUAAAGCGUACGUAGGCGGUUUGGUAAGUCAGGGGUGAAAUCCCAGAGCUCAACUCUGGAACUGCCCUUGAAACUGCUGAACUAGAAUCUUGGAGAGGUCAGUGGAAUUCCGAGUGUAGAGGUGAAAUUCGUAGAUAUUCGGAAGAACACCAGUGGCGAAGGCG